GGAUGCUCGUGCUUAUAGGGCAUUGUUCAAGCAGAAACAAAAGAAAGUUAAUGUGGCAGUUAGCGAUGUUGGAUUGGAGAGUGAUUACAAGGACACACCUUUAAAAAGAAAAAGAAACACGGUUGACAUGGAUUCUGAUGAUGUUGCGAUGACUUCAAGUAAAGAUAUUUUCCCCUUGGUCGCUGAUGCAGUCAUAUCUUCUACAGUUGGAAACAAUUUGGUGGAGACAUGUGUUACAUGUUUUAGGAAGCAAAGGGUCAACCGUGAUUCAAAACAGCAUGACCUUUGUUCUUGCAACUCAAAUUUAAACCAGGAUAUCAGUGGUGCCUCUUUUGCUGACGUUGGCUUUUACUCUCUCUCUCCCCUCCUCUUUUUCUUUCCCUAUCUUUAUUUACUUGUGCAUUAAUUUCGUAGAUGGAUUUGAAAUCUGCUCCUUUUCUGAUAGUAGAAUGAUAUGGAAUAAAAAUUACAGUUUGCUAGUUUUAUUUGAGACCAUGAAUGCCUAAUCAUUUUACUUUUGUUUCUGUUCUUGCAACAAUUUCUUGUCAUUUCAAUUUUUGUUGUGAAACUUCGAACUAUAUUAGGAUCUAAUUCCUUUCUCACUGCUUUUCCUUUUUAAGAUGGCCAGAAACUUUUAAUUGCCUAGGCUAUCCUACAACAGUUGUAUUAAUAAGCAACUUAAAACCUUCAAUGAACUGGAAUAACUUGAAAUUUUAAAAAUCUGCCCUUUUUCUGACAGGAUAUGUCUUGAUUCCCAAACUUUUAUAAGAAAUAUCAGACAAAAGGUGUAAAUAGAAGUUCCAUCACAGUUAUGCAGCCCAUGUCCUUCUGUCUUCAUUUCGGAGAUUGCUUGUGUUUGAUGCUCCUUGUUUCUAAAAAUUAUUGCCUUUUCACUUAUUGGGGUCUGCUGGAUCAUGAGUAAUGUGGUAGUUAUAUUCUGGGAUUCAGACUGGUAACUGGUUGCAGCCAAGGGGAUAGACAACAUUGUGAGCAGAAUGUGCAUCCUCUUUAGUUUUGGAGUGAGUCAGGAACGGAGUAUUAAACCUCUUGUAGGAGUGGGACAUUUAUUUGUAGAGUUCAAGCCAAUGAUUGUGAAGAGUUUUUUUGGCUUGUUUCUGUAAUCUGUAAUUCAUUUGGGCUUCAGAUCUCUCAUUUCAUUUUCUUUUUACUUUAUUUUUGUGCUCUCUUAUAUAUAUUGUAGGUGUUAUGCGCUCCACUUUCUUUCGGCCUUUUCUGGUAGUCCAUUUAGAAUUCAAGUUUAUUUGAAUAUAUGAUCAGUUUUCUAGUUCACAUAGCAUGUAAUUAGUGAUAUUGAAAGGAUCCAUCAUUUAGAAAAACAUUGUAUUUGAGAACUUAUAAGUUUACAUAAAUAUUUCCAUGGUUUAUUUUUCAUGAUUUACGUCUCUAGUUGGAUCGUUAGUAUGGUAGAAUCUCCCUCUUUCUCACACACGCAUGCGUACAUGCACAAUACACACUUUCUAUUUCUGAUGCUAUUUUUUAAUACAUAUUAAGUUGUCUAUGAUCCUGUCUUGCACCAUUAUUUUGAGAACAUGUAAAUAUUGUUCUAUUUAGCCUGGACAAAUCAAUUAUCUUGUUCUGAUGUGUUGCAUUAGGAUAGAAGGGAAAAAAAGUGGCCAACAAUGACGUUGAUCCAAUCUCCCUCAAACCCUCCAUAUUUGAAAGGGACAAAGCUGUUGGGGUCAAUGAAGGGAGUUUGGGAGCUCCAUCACAUAACAUGUGCCAAUCAAUGUCCGGGUCAAUUGUUAGAACUCCAUCAUGUAACAUGCAUCAAUCAAUGUCUGGGUCAAUUGGUCAUCUUGAUACAAUUCGUGCAAACCAUGCUUCGAGCACCACAAGUUUGGCUAAUAAAUUGUCAGAAGUAUCAGCAAUUAGCAUGGCUAUGUUGAAUGAAAGAAUUAAUUUGCUUGAUUCGCAACAGAGUUCGCAAAAGGAUCUCCAUCUUCUCUUGAAGCCAGAGAUAGCAAAACUUUGCGAAAUUCUACUACUCCCAGUAUGUAUUCAUUUCUUUCCUGAGGGAGUUAAUUUGUUAUAUAUGUUGCUAAGCACUAGGGGCCAAUAGUGAUAUUGAUAUGAUCCCUUGGGCAUGCUAUCCAAUUGGUACUUUUUCGUUUACUUGGUCUGGGAAUUGGUAAAAGCAUGCUAUCCAAUUGGUACUUUUUCGUUUACUUGGUCUGGGAAUUGGUAAAAGCAUACUAAAGAUUUUACUGUGAAGAUCUUUGCAUCUAAUCAAGCUUCAAUCCUCUAAUGAGCUUUGUUGUUAUUAAUGGAAUACCCAGCUUAGUAAGGUACUGGGGAUUUUCAAGU
rnacentral:misc_RNA from 1 species